rnacentral:rRNA from 1 species
GAUGAACGCUGGCGGCGUGCCUAAUACAUGCAAGUCGAGCGAACAGACGAGGAGCUUGCUCCUUUGACGUUAGCGGCGGACGGGUGAGUAACACGUGGAUAACCUACCUAUAAGACUGGGAUAACUUCGGGAAACCGGAGCUAAUACCGGAUAAUAUAUUGAACCGCAUGGUUCUAUAGUGAAAGACGGUUUUGCUGUCACUUAUAGAUGGAUCCGCGCCGCAUUAGCUAGUUGGUAAGGUAACGGCUUACCAAGGCGACGAUGCGUAGCCGACCUGAGAGGGUGAUCGGCCACACUGGAACUGAGACACGGUCCAGACUCCUACGGGAGGCAGCAGUAGGGAAUCUUCCGCAAUGGGCGAAAGCCUGACGGAGCAACGCCGCGUGAGUGAUGAAGGUCUUCGGAUCGUAAAACUCUGUUAUUAGGGAAGAACAAAUGUGUAAGUAACUAUGCACGUCUUGACGGUACCUAAUCAGAAAGCCACGGCUAACUACGUG